AGGGGGCUAGCGUUGCUCGGAAUCACUGGGCGUAAAGGGUGCGUAGGCGGGUCUUUAAGUCAGGGGUGAAAUCCUGGAGCUCAACUCCAGAACUGCCUUUGAUACUGAGGAUCUUGAGUUCGGGAGAGGUGAGUGGAACUGCGAGUGUAGAGGUGAAAUUCGUAGAUAUUCGCAAGAACACCAGUGGCGAAGGCGGCUCGCUGGCCCGAUACUGACGCUGAGGCACGAAAGCGUGGGGAGCAAACAGG
rnacentral:rRNA from 1 species